ensembl:lncRNA
AUGUGGAAAAAAAAAUAUCAAAAUGUUCUUUGUAGGGGACCUAUCCAUCUCCUGGGUAUCUUGUGUGCCCAAGACCAUAAAACAGAGAAGCAAACAAAACUUCAUCAGGUUUGCCAGUUGUACCCCUCAGAGAUGGCGUUACCACAUGAGUAUUUACAAUUUUUGGAUAAUGAUCUGGUCAAAACAUCUGCUUUCACCUCCUUUCCACUGAGCAUUUUGUUGAUUCUGUUGGAGGCUUUGAUUGAUAAAGAUUUUUCAUGCCCGUGCAAUGCUGAGCAAAAUGCAACCUUAAUAAAGCUAAUCUUCAUUGCACCAUGUAUUUUUGUUUUUGGGUUAAUGUUUAUUUUGCAGCUAAAUAAAAAUGGACCUACAAGGUCUCGUAGAAAGAUUGGAAAACAUUUCUUGUUUACCCUGAUUCCACCUUUUGUGUGGAUCAUGCUUGUGCUCCUUGAUGGUGAUUAUAUUGCCUGUCAGAAAACAGACUGGAAUGGAGUGUAUGUUUCAGAUGAUCAGCAACAUGUGAAAUGGUAUCAACCCACUGAACCAGUUCCAGGAAAAAAUGAGACCGAACUACAAGCUCUGACUUUCAGCUUUAUCGCCGAAUCACAGACUUCUGGUUUUGUGAUGCUCCUUGUCUUGGGCAUUAUCUUAAUAGUGGUUGUUUUUUGUGUCUACCGCUGCACUGGUGAAGAGCCACCGCAAACAACAGAAGAUAGAGGAGAUUACAUGGGUACUUUUGCUUGCUAUAGAAGUGAAGCAAACCUGCCACUUCAGUUGGAUUUUGAAUAAAUGGCUGUAUCAUAUGAUUCAUCCUGGGUUUUUAAUAUGUAUUUCUACUGUAUUCAUAUAUAUUUUUCAUUUUUAUUAUUAAUCCUUGAAUAUGCAAGACAGUAAAUCAAUAAUCACACAACCAAGACUGUGAUAUUGCUUUUAUAAACAAUUCAGUAAAACAAGUAUGUACAUAAUUAAGAAAGGGUCGAGGACACUAUUAUAUGUAUGAAAGUUUAAAUGGAUGAUAUGAAAAUUAAACGAUUAUGCAGCAUGAAUUGCAGAUGUAAUACAUAGUUUUUUUUUUUUUUCAAAAUCAGUAAAUACUACACAAUGCCAGUUUAUUUAUUUUUUAAUCAUUUUCUCUAGACACACCUUAAAUUCUUGGCUUUAACUGUUUCCAAUGUUGUUGCAAAUGACAUUCAAGCUGGCAUAUUGAUCCAUUAGCAGGGCUGCAGAUUAUAUGAUAUAGAUAUAAAUGUGUACUGUAUGUGUAAUAACAAAUUAAUUAUCUAGAUGGAUUUACAGCUCUUCUAUGUUUCAUCUUGAUUAUUUGUAUUAAUGUUUUUGUUGUUUUUGAAUUUACCUAUUGGUAAAGAAGAAAUAGAAAUGGCAUAUUUCUGCUUCAAAUAAAUCACUUAAUCCACUUCA